UCGUAUAAGACGUUGAGUUGUAAGCUAGCGCGAGGACACGCACAUUGAAAGGAGGGAGUUGUGUAACGACCCUGGGUUUAUAAACGCGGAUAUCGACUUUGCCAUGCUAGCAUGCUUUUGUGGCACAGUCAAUGGCGCGCUGGACUUCGGGCUAGAAGGUUGAGGGUUCAAGACCUGCAUUCUGCCUGUUUCAUUACAAUACCAUAAGUAAUUCAUAACUUCAUUAGCUAGCUAACGUUGGCUAGCAAGACGUAUUAGCUGACUCAACUAGCGCGAAUGUCUUGUUAAGGUUGCUUUGGCUUUUCAUAUCAAGCUCAGCUGAUCAUGAAAUUAUUUUCAUAUAGUGUCAAUUUCAUAACGUCGUUAUGAAACUGAGCUGAUAUAUGGUUAGCUAGAUAGCUAGCAAAUACUAUGUAGCUAAUAAGGUCGAAAGCUGCGAUAGCUAGUUAACGUUAGCUAUUUUUAUUUGCUCCAGUCUGGCACGACCAAGUCGUGACUGCUUUCACCAGUAAGAAGUCGAGCUGGGUUUGCUUGAAUUACUCGCGUCGGUAACUCACCCAAUGAAUGACCCAGAUAUGUCUGACACAUAGCCUACAGUAGUUAAACUAUAGAAACAGCUCUGCAUAUUUGUGAAAACGUUGCCAGAUAUGGUGAGGCAGAGCACGAUGGUAGAGCUGCAAGCCUUCCAGCACGCUCCAGUUACAGAGUAACACUCUGGCCUCUGAUGCAGUAGGGGACAGCUGUGGGGGACAGCAGAAUGGGGAGAUCACUGCCACAAAGGAGUGACAGCGCCUCUCACAAGGUCCUCCAGAGGUGGAGGCCAGCCAGCCAGGAAGCAGUUCAGACUCAGCCAAACGACAGAAGAAGAAAAGGAGGACGAGCAACAGACAGCUUCACUGGAAACUUCAACGGUGUGCCAGGAGAUGAGCUCGGGGCUGGGAGCAUACACAGGGACCUGUGAGGACAUCAUACUCGCCUACCUCAGCGAAAGCGUCUUCUUCCGAUGCAUUUUGGCUCUCGGUUAAGCAAGGCAGGCUAUAGGUAGAGAGAAGCGUUCCCCUUGAAAAUGUUAUGUGUAGAUGAUAGUCUAAAGACGGGUAAAGCCUUUUGUUGUUUUGUUUUCCCUGUUUGGCCACGGCCUUUAGGUCAACUGCUUAGUUUAUUUUUAUUCAUUUUUUUUCGCUGUUGUUUCAGCGGUGGACACUACCCUGUACUGGAAUCAUUUUGUCGGGUGAAAGAAAACACGUAUAUUGACAAUACAAAAGCAAAGGAACAACAA